CAGUUACACAGACUACAGGAAAAGGCCCCUGCCUCUUCUCCCAGGGGAUCCUGCUUUCUUGUUUCGGGAUUCAAGCUGAGCGCGAGGAUGCCACAAGAUCGUUCCCUCUGUGAAGAAGACAGGAAACCCUCCCCACACGGAACCUGCAAGCUGCUGGACCCCUGACUGUGGACUUCCGGCCUCCAGAACUUAUGCAAUUAAAGUGUGUUGUUCA